rnacentral:rRNA from 1 species
UACAGAGGGUGCGAGCGUUAAUCGGAAUUACUGGGCGUAAAGGGUGCGUAGGUGGUUUUGUAAGUUAGAUGUGAAAUUCCUGGGCUUAACCUGGGGACUGCGUCUGAUACUGCGAAGCUAGAGUACUGUAGAGGGAAGUGGAAUUUCCGGUGUAGCAGUGAAAUGCGUAGAUAUCGGAAGGAACAUCAGUGGCGAAGGCGACUUCCUGGACAGAUACUGACACUGAGGCACGAAAGCGUAGGGAGCAAACAGG